GAUGAACGCUGGCGGCGUGCUUAACACAUGCAAGUCGAACGGUGAAGGCGGAGCUUGCUCUGCUGGAUCAGUGGCGAACGGGUGAGUAACACGUGAGCAAUCUGCCCCUGACUCUGGGAUAAGCGCUGGAAACGGCGUCUAAUACUGGAUACGAGCUGCGAAGGCAUCUUCAGCAGCUGGAAAGAAUUUCGGUCAGGGAUGAGCUCGCGGCCUAUCAGCUUGUUGGUGAGGUAAUGGCUCACCAAGGCGUCGACGGGUAGCCGGCCUGAGAGGGUGACCGGCCACACUGGGACUGAGACACGGCCCAGAGUCCUACGGGAGGCAGCAGUGGGGAAUAUUGCACAAUGGGCGAAAGCCUGAUGCAGCAACGCCGCGUGAGGGACGACGGCCCUCGGGUUGUAAACCUCUUUUAGCAGGGAAGAAGCGAAAGUGACGGUACCUGCAGAAAAAGCGCCGGCUAACUACGUG
rnacentral:rRNA from 1 species